UGAAUGCACAGCUAUACAAGUUGCAGAAGUGGAGAAUAGAUUCAAAAGUAUAUUGGGAGGGUUACUGUUAGUUCUGUACCUUAGCAUCUCUUCUCUGCAUGCAGAUAUAGCCAUCUUAGAGAACAUUUUUAUGUUUGUGAUGAGUUCUUCAAGCUAUUGUUUAUUUACAUCUAUAGUUCUAUGUCUUGAAAGGUUACUUAUUCAUUCCCAAGAUUCCUUUCUUCUAUAGCUUGUGUUAUGUUUUUGAACUAGCUCACAGAUUUUAGACACUAUGCUUGUCAAAAGUGGUGGUAGAUUUCCAUUCAGUAACUUAUGUGGAUAUAGCCAGCUGCGUCAAACAUGAGAAACGUUAUCACUUAACUUUGUGUUUAACCCAUAUGCCCAAGGAGAGUGUUUGACACAUGACUAUUUGACAUGACACUGACACCUGAAGAGGCAUGAAGCUCUCCUGAUCACUGUGCUUUAUUUAUUCAUUAUUUAUUUAUUUAUUUAUUAUAUUGGUUUAGGCAAUUUCAGAGGACAACAUAACUCUUCAUGCAUAACUGAGAUUUCUAGGGGUUUGGGUAUUUAAGCAAAGAAAUAGAAGAGCAGGAAUUCUGACUUGACUGUAUUUGUCUUGACUAUGAAAUAGUGAAGAGGAAAUCCUCCAACAGAACAAAGGUGUAGUCUGUCAGAGUCUAAGCAACACAUAUUCUUUGCCAUCUUUCCAUUUACACCAUCUGCAGUGGAGAUUCUCACAGAUCUCUAGCAAAGUAGAUAUUCUGGAAUUCUCAUUACAGUGCUUGUUUUAGAAUAGUGCUUUUAAUGAGCGUGAGACUAGAAAAGCACUCAGUGGUAAUUUAGAAAUAUAUUGUGUAUCUGUUCACACAAUCCCUUCCUUUCUUUCACGGUCCUUAGGAAUCCAUGCCUGAGAGGGAUUUGAAAGGAUGCCUCUUCUAUCAGAAGGAAAUUAGAAAUGUAAAAAUGAACAUUCAUCAUGGAAGCAGACUGACCACCUCCCACCCCUCCAAAAAUAACAACCAAAAGCCACUUUCUCCAGCUACACGUUUGCUAAAGAUGCUUUCAACUUAAAUAUUUUCUCAUCCAUCUGCUCAGUGUUGUCCCUUGUGCAAUUUCUUGCUCACCAGUGGCCUUACAGCAGAGAACCAGCAGGUAAGUGUGAUCUCAUUAGCUUGAGAAAGAUUCCAUAAUGUCAUAAUGUCUUUUUUUUUUUUUUUCCCCUUCUGAUCUAUGUUGUAUUCUUUUUUUUUUUUCUUCUUUUCUCCUAUCCAGCUUCCUGCC
rnacentral:lncRNA from 1 species